rnacentral:misc_RNA from 1 species
AGACUCAACCUCCCCGGUUUAUGAUCGGGACGGGUUGGAUAUGGGCGCUGCCGAUUGCCGGCUCGCCUUAAAUGUCUUAGCGGGCUCAGAAGCCCCGACCUAGCGUAAUAAGUUUCGCUGGCGAGGGUGCGGAUGACCGCUCACAACUGCCCUCGGGCACCUUUUGA